GAUGAACGCUGGCGGCGUGCCUAUACAUGCACGUCGAGCGAACAGACGAGGAGCUUGCUCCUCUGACGUUAGCGGCGGACGGGUGAGUAACACGUGGAUAACCUACCUAUAAGACUGGGAUAACUUCGGGAAACCGGAGCUAAUACCGGAUAACAUGUUGAACCGCAUGGUUCAACAGUGAAAGACGGUUUUGCUGUCACUUAUAGAUGGAUCCGCGCCGCAUUAGCUAGUUGGUAAGGUAACGGCUUACCAAGGCAACGAUGCGUAGCCGACCUGAGAGGGUGAUCGGCCACACUGGAACUGAGACACGGUCCAGACUCCUACGGGAGGCAGCAGUAGGGAAUCUUCCGCAAUGGGCGAAAGCCUGACGGAGCAACGCCGCGUGAGUGAAGAAGGUCUUCGGAUCGUAAAACUCUGUUAUUAGGGAAGAACAAAUGUGUAAGUAGCUAUGCACGUCUUGACGGUACCUAAUCAGAAAGCCACGGCUAACUACGUG
rnacentral:rRNA from 1 species